CCUACGGGAGGCAGCAGUGAGGAAUAUUGGUCAAUGGGCUUACGCCUGAACCAGCCAAGUCGCGUGAGGGAAGACUGCCCUAUGGGUUGUAAACCUCUUUUGUCAGGGAGCAAUUGGCGCUACGUGUAGCGUUAUCGAGAGUACCUGAAGAAAAAGCAUCGGCUAACUCCGUGCCAGCAGCCGCGGUAAUACGGAGGAUGCGAGCGUUAUCCGGAUUUAUUGGGUUUAAAGGGUGCGUAGGCGGAAUGCCAAGUCAGCGGGAAAAUCGCGGGGCUCAACCUCGCUCCGCCGUUGAAACUGGCGUUCUUGAGUGGGCGAGAAGUAUGCGGAAUGCGUGGUGUAGCGGGGAAAUGCAUAGAUAUCACGCAGAACUCCGAUUGCGAAGGCAGCAUACCGGCGCCCAACUGACGCUGAAGCACGAAAGCGUGGGUAUCGAACAGGAUUAGAUACCCCGGUAGUC
rnacentral:rRNA from 1 species